AAGAAAUUAGUUAAUUCAUAACAUUUGCUUGUCAAGCAAAAAUUAUCGCCUCCACCCAGAUAUUUCUUA
rnacentral:tRNA from 1 species